UUACUUUGUUUGUAUCGGGAGCCAUCGCAAGAAUCAGAAUGAAGACAGAUUCGAUUAAGCUCUGAAACAGCAACAAAUUUUGCAGCAGCUUCAGCUCCAUAUCUGACUAAUCGAAGAGGAAGCCCUGCAACUUGAUCAAGAUUCCUUUAAAGCAAGCGGCAAAGAAAAAGAAAAGUGAAUGGAUCGACCGGGUCAUCACCAGCUAUGGACAUUUACGGCGGAAAACUUAAAUGAGGUUCCCCAGUUUAGGAACUUGCAAAGAGCACAGCACAUUCUUGCUUAGCUGGAAAGACAAAUAUUGCUGUACUAGAACCAACAAUUCACAAGGAAUUGGGAGAAGAAUAUUCAUCGACGAAGCCUUCUGAUGGAAGGAAAGUGCACGAGAUCACAUCGAA